UACGUAGGGAGCAAGCGUUGUCCGGAAUCAUUGGGCGUAAAGCGCGCGUAGGCGGCCCCGUAAGUCCGCUGUGAAAGUCAAAGGCUCAACCUUUGAAAGCCGGUGGAUACUGUGGGGCUAGAGUCCGGAAGAGGCGAGUGGAAUUCCUGGUGUAGCGGUGGAAUGCGCAGAUAUCAGGAGGAACACCGGUGGCGAAGGCGGGUCUCUGGGCCGUAACUGACGCUGAGGAGCGAAAGCGUGGGGAGCGAACGGG
rnacentral:rRNA from 1 species